AGUAUGCAGCUGAAGGACUUGAACAG
rnacentral:piRNA from 1 species